rnacentral:rRNA from 1 species
CCAGGUUGAUCCUACCAGUAGUCAUAUGCUUGUCUCAAAGAUUAAGCUAUGCAUGUCUAAGUAUAAACAAAUUUGUACUGUGAAACUGCAAAUGGCUCAUUAAAUCAGUUAUAGUUUAUUUGAUGGUAUCUUGCUACAUGGAUAACUGUGGUAAUUCUAGAGCUAAUACAUGCAAUCAAGCUCCAACUUCUGGGAGGGGUGUAUUUAUUAGAUAAAAAACCAACGUGGUUCGCCGCUCCCUUGGGGAUUCAUAAUAAAUUGUUAAAUCGCAUAGCCUUGUGCCGAUGAUGCUUCAUUCAAAUAUCUGCCCUAUCAACUUUUGAUGGUAGGAUGGAGGCCUACCAUGGUUUCAACAGGUAACAGGGAAUAAGGGUUCAAUUCCAGAGAGGGAGCCUGAGAAACAGCUACCACAUCCAAGGAAGGCAGCAGGUGCACAAAUUACCCAAUCCCGGCACAGGGAGGUAGUGACAAUAAAUAACAAUAUAGGGCUCUUUUAGGUCUUAUGAUUGGAAUGAGUACAAUUUAAAUCCCUUAACAAGGAACAAUUGGAGGGCAAGUCUGGUGCCAGCAGCUGCGGUAAUUCCAGCUCCAAUAGCAUAUAUUAAAGUUGUUGCAGUUAAAAAGCUCGUAGUUGAACUUCAGACCUCUGCUUAACGGCAUGUACUGUCUGACUGGGCCUUACCUCUUGGUGAGCUGGUGUGCCCUUUAUUGGUUGUGCAUUGGGGAACCAGGACUUUUACCUUGAGAAAAUUAGAGUGUUCAAAGCAGGCCUAUGCCCGAAUAUAUUAGCAUGGAAUAAUAGAAUAGGACAUGCAGUUCUAUUUUGUUGGUUUCUAGAGUCGCCGUAAUGAUUAAUAGGGAUAGUUGGGGGUAUUGGUAUUGAGUUGCUAGAGGUGAAAUUCUUGGAUUGACUCAAGACCGACUAUUGCGAAAGCAUUUGCCAAGGAUGUUUUCAUUAAUCAAGAACGAAGGUUAGGAGAUCGAAAACAAUCAGAUAUGGGGGCAAGGGUUACCAGUUGUGUUUACCCGGCCCCUUUCCCUAGGCCAUGUUACCUCCUUGAGGUGUCCCCGGGAAUUCCAACAAGUGUUGGUGCUAAAACAUGUCUGAAUAGUUAUCUAAUAACAACCUAGUAGCACUCAGUUCUUG